GCCCUCUUUUUCCCCCUCGGCUCCUGCUCCAGCGGCACGAUGUGAUCCACCAGCUAGGAGGGACGCCAAUAAGGCGUCCGAUAAGAUAAGUCUUCUAAAAUAUAUAGACGUAUGAUAAUUGAGACUGAGCUAACAGAUAAAAAUCCUAGUCAUUGGCCAAGCAGCAUUGUAACUAAUACAAGUCUCUCUGGGUAUUCAUUUGGGCCUAACUCAUUUGGGCAGGCGGCUGGCGUAAAGCACACACGUGGUGGUGGGGCUCAAGCGGCUUUUGGCAGAAAGAUUUAUAGUAACACCCCUCCCUCUCUAUAACUGGAUUCCAGAAGUUCGGCUCAGUGCUUAGCUGUGGAUCUCUGCUUCUGCUUCCAUCAACUACCAGAUGAAAGCUCUGGGAUGGCAUUUAAGAAAAGAGCAGACCUCCAAGAGACAACAACCGAACAUGAUAAAACAAAAUACAAUGAGACAAGGCAGAAGUCCUCAGAUUAGGGCUGGAAAAGAGUCUGUCAUAGUCCACAGAACUCUGUGGUUAUGAAGUAACGCCCUAACUUCUGAUCUGACAGAUCAUCAGGAUCUUAUCCAUAUGUAAUUUACAUCAGCUUAGGAUAUCAAAUCGUCUUUAGACUAAAUAUGAACCUGUUACACAGACCCACUUUCAACUGUGUAUGUUGUACUGAACUAGAAAACACAAACUGGCUUCAAGUGUUACUGAAGGACAGCUUUGACAUUAUACCCUGCUUAAAUACUGAAUAUGAGUAUAUCCACUAUCAUAAUUAUGUCUCUGAAUUUUACACUCUCCUACUAUUGAAAUGUAGUGGAUGGAGCCGAGGGAAGAAAUGGACUGCUUUGCAAGACAUGGGUUCUCAGCCUCCAUGCCUGACCUACUGAAUCAGAAUGGGACAUAAAGCAAUCAUAAUGAUAGCUACCUUUCAUCAAGCACUCACUAUUUCCAGCACUAUGCUAAUUGCUUUACAUGACACACUUCAUUUCAUCCCUACAACAGCAGCCCAGUGAGUCAGCUGCUCUUAUUACAAUGCUUAGAUAAGAGCAUUGACUCUUGACUCAGACUUAAGACAUUCCUAGGUUACAGAUGCAUUGAGCAAUAAAUCCUCAUUUUUAUUCAUUUACCUCC
rnacentral:lncRNA from 1 species